GACGUAGGGCGCGAGCGUUGUCCGGAUUUAUUGGGCGUAAAGAGCUCGUAGGCGGCUUGUCGCGUCGACUGUGAAAACCCGUGGCUCAACCAUGUGGUCUGCAGUCGAUACGGGCAGGCUAGAAUUCGGUAGGGGAGACUGGAAUUCCUGGUGUAGCGGUGAAAUGCGCAGAUAUCAGGAGGAACACCUAUUGCGAAGGCAGCUCGCUGGGACGUAACUGACGCUGAGACGCGAAAGCGUGGGGAGCAAACAGG
rnacentral:rRNA from 1 species